AACGCGAAGAACCUUACCAGGACUUGACAUGGGAGAGCCGCGGCCAGAGAUGGUCGUUUCCGCAAGGACUCUCUGCACAGGUGCUGCAUGGCUGUCGUCAGCUCGUGUCGUGAGAUGUUGGGUUAAGUCCCGCAACGAGCGCAACCCUCGCCUUUAGUUGCCAGCACGUUUGGGUGGGCACUCUAAAGGAACUGCCGGUGACAAGCCGGAGGAAGGUGGGGAUGACGUCAAGUCCUCAUGGCCCUUAUGUCCUGGGCUACACACGUGCUACAAUGGCGGUGACAGCGGGAAGCCAGGUCGCAAGGCCGAGCCGAUCCCGAAAAGCCGUCUCAGUUCAGAUUGCACUCUGCAACUCGGGUGCAUGAAGGUGGAAUCGCUAGUAAUCGUGGAUCAGCAUGCCACGGUGAAUACGUUCCCGGGCCUUGUACACACCGCUCGCGA
rnacentral:rRNA from 1 species